AGCGUUUUGGUUUUCGUGAUAUUUUUGUUGGUUAUUCGGUAUUUAUUGACGAUAUUAUGGAAAAUAACGAAAAGAAAACAAACAAACAAACAGAAAGAUAAAUAACCCCAACAUCACGAUCUAACGUCAUAUGUCAAAACCAUGUGACAUAUUGCUACGAACGGCCGACGAGGAAAGAUAAAAUUCGUUUAUGUUGAAAGUCACCGAUGGCAACGAUGAAUGGUCUUAUGUAUUUAAAUGUUUUUAACUUUGUAACAACAAAUGUCAACGGCAACGGAAAGUCAAGUUUAUGAAUCGUCCUUUUUAUUAUAUUGCAAUCAUAAACAAAUUUGAACAUUUCGUGAGCUUUUUUUGCAAUUUUUUCAAAUUGAAAUAAAAUUUAAUGUAAAUACAAGUUUCACGAUAGAAUUUGAAGAAAAAUUUAUUUACGUUCGAUAUAAAAAACAUACCCAAAAUUUGGACAAUUUUUUUGAGCAAGCCUACAAAUUAGCUCAGACUAGCAGGUCGGUUAAGUUAGGUCUACCUGGAAAAAUGUUAGUAGUGAAACAAAGGAAUUAGUAUGGAACUAAAGUACAUUCAAUUCUACCAUCAUGGGAAAUGGUUAUUCAGUGCAUCUGAAGAUUUUUAUUUAAUACGUAUAACAUUAUGUAGUUUGACAUGCUCUAUAGGUAACUAAAUGGAUAAAAGUUAAUAAAAUAGAGAAUAAUGGACACAGCUUUAUAAAAAAUUGCAUAUCAUGCACUACCUUUUUAUAUGUUGAUAAAAAAAUGUUAUUAUAUUUAUUAAACAAAUAAAUCUGUUCUAUAAACAUAAUAAUUGAAUAGAUAAGAAACCA